rnacentral:rRNA from 1 species
CAGUCGCCACGGUAAUACGUAGGGUGCAAGCGUUAAUCGGAAUUACUGGGCGUAAAGCGUGCGCAGGCGGUUAUAUAAGUCAGAUGUGAAAUCUCCGGGCUCAACCUGGGAACUGCAUUUGAGACUGUAUGGCUAGAGUGUGUCAGAGGGGGGUAGAAUUCCACGUGUAGCAGUGAAAUGCGUAGAUAUGUGGAGGAAUACCGAUGGCGAAGGCAGCCCCCUGGGAUAACACUGACGCUCAUGCACGAAAGCGUGGGGAGCAAACAGGAUUAGAUACCCCCGUAGUCCCUGUCUCUUAUAC